ACCGUCUUUAUCGAGGGGCUGAGGGCUUGUCCAAUGAGAGUCAAUCGAGGGCAAGACUGCUUACACCCAUGAUUUAAUUUCACCGCACCGCCUGCACGUAAGUGUGGGUUUGGGUGCAAUUUUUGGUAAU